rnacentral:lncRNA from 1 species
AAAAAUGAAGAACAGCUCUGACAGCUUAUUCCAGGCCUUAGCUCUCUCUUAUUGUUAAUGUUUAGACUUGAAAGUUGUUCACAACUUGUACCCUGCUAGAUACUCUACAAAUCCCGACGUCUAAACUACCUAAUACAUGAUCAGAUUGAUCGAUAUAAGGUAAACAAAAAGCGUUGACCGACCUUGACUUAAGUUUCUGGGCAACCCAGAAACGUUAUGACAGCUUGUU